AGGUCUCAAGCUAAGCUAGACUUCACUUUGCCUUGAUAGGAGACAGGUACGUAGAAAAGGAGACCGUGAAAAGCUAGCUAGAUCCAAAAGGUAUGGGAUUUGGAAAAUUUACCAUAGGCCAUCUUUCAGACAGAUAUACAGUAAUUCUCUUAAAGAGAGACAGCAAAUCCAAGAAGAUUUGCACAACAUUGAUUUAAAGGGGGCAGGAGUAGAGGUUUGGCAAUGUUUUGCUUAACUUGGCACAAAGUUAAUACAACCAACUGGCUUAAAAGAUACUCACUUAGGGACUGAAAUGUCUCAUUUAGCUAAAUGGAAACAUUCACCAGACACUUCUAGCUAGCUCUCCCACAUCACUUUGAGCCACACAGGCACUUCCAUGUUUGGGACUGAAUUGCCUGGGAAUCC
rnacentral:lncRNA from 1 species